GAUGAACGCUAGCGGCAGGCUUAACACAUGCAAGUCGAGGGGUAUUGGUUUUCGGACCAAGAGACCGGCGCACGGGUGCGUAACGCGUAUGCAAUCUACCUUUUGCAGAGGGAUAGCCCAGAGAAAUUUGGAUUAAUACCUCAUAGUAUAGUACUUUGGCAUCAAGGAACUAUUAAAGUCACAACGGCAAAAGAUGAGCAUGCGUCCCAUCAGCUAGUUGGUAAGGUAACGGCUUACCAAGGCUACGAUGGGUAGGGGUUCUGAGAGGGAGAUCCCCCACACUGGUACUGAGACACGGACCAGACUCCUACGGGAGGCAGCAGUGAGGAAUAUUGGACAAUGGGCGCAAGCCUGAUCCAGCCAUGCCGCGUGCAGGAUGACGGUCCUAUGGAUUGUAAACUGCUUUUAAUACAGGAAGAAACACUCCGACGUGUCGGAGCUUGACGGUACUGUAAGAUAAGGAUCGGCUAACUCCGUGCCAGCAGCCGACGG
rnacentral:rRNA from 1 species